ACAAUGAGGCAGACACAAGUUAAACAAUCCUCAAAAGAGGAAAAACUUGAAAUUUCCAUGGUUUCCUCUACUUUCUAAUGGAUUGGCUCCUGCUGGCUCUUUUCCUUGUUCUGAGGAGCUGCUGGAUGGUGCAGGUAAAGAUUGUGUUUCUUGGAGAGAGAGAAGCUGGCUCCUCCCACCAGAGAAAUGACUGCCCCAGUGCUGUGCCUUGUGAUCACUGACCUUUGCUUCACAUACUUAAGUGGACCUGGAAAGAAAAUGAGCUGGAAGUGCAUGGCAGGGACCAGCCCAGUGAGUGGCAAGACAGCAGCGCUGUGGCUUUCAUUCUGCUAAAAAUGCAAGUGGUUUCAUCUUUUGUUAGCAACUGUCUAUGCUCUAGA